rnacentral:rRNA from 1 species
AUUGAACGCUAGCGGGAUGCUUUCCACAUGCAAGUCGAACGAGUGGCGGCCGGGUGAGUAAUAUAUCGGAACGUGCCCAGUAGCGGGGGAUAACUACGCGAAAGCGUGGCUCAUACCGCAUACUAUAGGAGCGGCCGAUCUAGUAUUAGCGAGUUGGUGGGGUAACGGCUCACCAAGGCAACGAUCCGUAGCUGGUUUGAGAGGACGACCAGCCACAAUGGGACUGCGACACGGCGCAGACUCCUACGAGAGACAGCAGUGGGGAAUUUUGGACAAUGGGGGAAACCCUGAUCCAGCCAUCCCGCGUGUAUGAUAAGGCCUUCGGGUUGUAAAGUACUUUUGGCAGAGAAGCGGUAUCUGCAGAAUAAGCACCGGCUAACUACGUGCCAGCAGCCGCGGUAAUUC